rnacentral:rRNA from 1 species
CGUUGUCCGGAAUUAUUUGGCGUAAAGAGCUCGUAGGCGGUGUGUCGCGUCGGCCGUGAAAACCUGGGGCUCAACUCUGGGCUUGCGGUCGAUACGGGCAUCACUUGAGUUCGGCAGGGGAGACUGGAAUUCCUGGUGUAGCGGUGAAAUGCGCAGAUAUCAGGAGGAACACCAGUGGCGAGGGCGGGUCUCUGGGCCGAUACUGACGCUGAGGAGCGAAAGCGUG